rnacentral:rRNA from 2 species
CUAUACAUGCAAGUCGAGCGAACUGAUUAGAAGCUUGCUUCUAUGACGUUAGCGGCGGACGGGUGAGUAACACGUGGGCAACCUGCCUGUAAGACUGGGAUAACUUCGGGAAACCGAAGCUAAUACCGGAUAGGAUCUUCUCCUUCAUGGGAGAUGAUUGAAAGAUGGUUUCGGCUAUCACUUACAGAUGGGCCCGCGGUGCAUUAGCUAGUUGGUGAGGUAACGGCUCACCAAGGCAACGAUGCAUAGCCGACCUGAGAGGGUGAUCGGCCACACUGGGACUGAGACACGGCCCAGACUCCUACGGGAGGCAGCAGUAGGGAAUCUUCCGCAAUGGACGAAAGUCUGACGGAGCAACGCCGCGUGAGUGAUGAAGGCUUUCGGGUCGUAAAACUCUGUUGUUAGGGAAGAACAAGUACGAGAGUAACUGCUCGUACCUUGACGGUACCUAACCAGAAAGCCACGGCUAACUACGUGCCAGCAGCCGCGGUAAUACGUAGGUGGCAAGCGUUAUCCGGAAUUAUUGGGCGUAAAGCGCGCGCAGGCGGUUUCUUAAGUCUGAUGUGAAAGCCCACGGCUCAACCGUGGAGGGUCAUUGGAAACUGGGGAACUUGAGUGCAGAAGAGAAAAGCGGAAUUCCACGUGUAGCGGUGAAAUGCGUAGAGAUGUGGAGGAACACCAGUGGCGAAGGCGGCUUUUUGGUCUGUAACUGACGCUGAGGCGCGAAAGCGUGGGGAGCAAACAGGAUUAG